rnacentral:rRNA from 1 species
GACGAACGCUGGCGGCGUGCUUAACACAUGCAAGUCGAACGGAAAGGCCCUGCUUGCAGGGUACUCGAGUGGCGAACGGGUGAGUAACACGUGGGUGAUCUGCCCUGCACUUCGGGAUAAGCCUGGGAAACUGGGUCUAAUACCGGAUAGGAGCCAUUCUUAGUGUGAUUGUUGGAAAGUAUUUUCGGUUUAGGAUAAGCUCGCGGCCUAUCAGCUUGUUGGUGGGGUAAUGGCCUACCAAGGCGGCGACGGGUAGCCGGCCUGAGAGGGUGGACGGCCACAUUGGGACUGAGAUACGGCCCAGACUCCUACGGGAGGCAGCAGUGGGGAAUAUUGCACAAUGGGCGCAAGCCUGAUGCAGCGACGCCGCGUGGGGGAUGACGGCCUUCGGGUUGUAAACUCCUUUCGCUAGGGACGAAGCUUUUUGUGACGGUACCUAGAUAAGAAGCACCGGCUAACUACGUG